UACGUAGGGGACGAGCGUUGUCCGGAAUUACUGGGCGUAAAGGGCGCGCAGGCUGUAGAUCAAGUCAGCUGUGAAAUGUCUGGGCUUAACCCGGGCAUGCGGUUGAAACUGAUGUACUGGAGUGCUGUAGAGGCAAGUGGAAUUCCCAGUGUAGCGGUGAAAUGCGUAGAUAUUGGGAAGAACACCGGUGGCGAAGGCGACUUGCUGGGCAGCAACUGACGCUGAGGCGCGAAAGCCAGGGGAGCAAACUGGAUUAGA
rnacentral:rRNA from 1 species